rnacentral:rRNA from 1 species
CCUACGGGAGGCAGCAGUGGGGAAUUUUGGACAAUGGGCGCAAGCCUGAUCCAGCUAUUCCGCGUGUGGGAAGACGGCCUUCGGGUUGUAAACCACUUUUGUAGAGAACGAAAAGUCUAUUGAUAAUACCGAUAGAUGAUGACGGUACUCUAAGAAUAAGCACCGGCUAACUACGUGCCAGCAGCCGCGGUAAUACGUAGGGUGCGAGCGUUAAUCGGAAUUACUGGGCGUAAAGGGUGUGCAGGCGGUUUUGCAAGAUGGAUGUGAAAGCCCCGGGCUUAACCUGGGAAAGCCAUACAUGACUGCAAGACUAGAGUGCGUCAGAGGGGGGUGGAAUUCCAAGUGUAGCAGUGAAAUGCGUAGAUAUUUGGAAGAACACCGAUGGCGAAGGCAGCCCCCUGGGACGCAACUGACGCUCAUACACGAAAGCGUGGGGAGCAAACGGGAUUAGAUACCCCUGUAGUC